GAUGAACGCUGGCGGCGUGCUUAACACAUGCAAGUCGAACGGAAAGGCCCAAGCUUGCUUGGGUACUCGAGUGGCGAACGGGUGAGUAACACGUGGGUGACCUGCCCUGCACUUUGGGAUAGGCUUGGGAAACUGGGUCUAAUACCGGAUAGGACCACCUCCUGGAUGUUGUGGUUGGAAGUUUUUUCGGUGUGGGGGGAGCUCGCGGCCUUUCAGCUUGUUGGUGGGGUAAUGGGCUAACCAGGGGUCGUCGGGUAGCCGGGCUGUGAGGGUGUACGGGCACAAUGGGGCUUGGGAUCCGGCCCGGCCUCCUCGGGGAGGCAGAAGGGGGGAAUAUGGACCAAGGGGGGGAGGCUGAUGCAGCGAAGCCGCGGGGGGGAUGGAGGCCCUCGGGGUGGAAACCCGCUUCGCCAGGUAAGGAAGGGUGUGUGACGGUACCGGGAGAAGAAGCACCGGCUAACUACGUG
rnacentral:rRNA from 1 species